UGGAAGAAUGAUACACGAGACUCGAUUAGUUAAGUUUCUUGUCACAGUUUCUUCCUAUAGAAAGAUUGCCUUCUGAUGACUGUAACUUGUGAAGUUUUAAUUUAUAGACAGAUACGGGGCACACAGAA